rnacentral:ncRNA from 1 species
GUCUAAGUACAUUCAUUAAAAUGGUGAAACCACGAAUGGCUCAUUAAAUCAGCUAUUGUUCCUUGUAUCACAUGUACUACAUGAAUCACUGUAGUAAUUGUAGAGCUAAUACAUUCAAUUAUGCUCUGACCCACAAAAGAACGAGUGCAUUUAUUAGAACAGAACAGGGGGAAGCAGUCGCGGGACCAGCUAAACAGGAGCGCAGAAGCUAUGAUAUCCUACUUAAUUAUAUUUCUGAUUUGUUCCAGAUGUCUAUGACUAACAUUUUAUUAUGUAAUUGCAAAGCAUGCUGGGAAGUAACCGAAAAUACGUAUUUGUUGGCUG